rnacentral:rRNA from 1 species
AUUGAACGCUGGCGGCAGGCCCAACACAUGCAAGUCGAGCGGAUGAAGGGAGCUUGCUCCUGGAUUCAGCGGCGGACGGGUGAGUAAUGCCUAGGAAUCUGCCUAGUAGUGGGGGAUAACGUCCGGAAACGGGCGCUAAUACCGCAUACGUCCUGAGGGAGAAAGUGGGGGAUCUUCGGACCUCACGCUAUCAGAUGAGCCUAGGUCGGAUUAGCUAGUUGGUGGGGUAAAGGCCUACCAAGGCGACGAUCCGUAACUGGUCUGAGAGGAUGAUCAGUCACACUGGAACUGAGACACGGUCCAGACUCCUACGGGAGGCAGCAGUGGGGAAUAUUGGACAAUGGGCGAAAGCCUGAUCCAGCCAUGCCGCGUGUGUGAAGAAGGUCUUCGGAUUGUAAAGCACUUUAAGUUGGGAGGAAGGGCAGUAAGUUAAUACCUUGCUGUUUUGACGUUACCAACAGAAUAAGCACCGGCUAACUUCGUG